rnacentral:rRNA from 1 species
UACGCACUGUGCGAACGUUAUUCGGAAUCACUGGGCUUACAGGGUGCGUAGGCGGCUCAACAAGUCAGGUGUGAAAGCCCCCGGCUCAACCGGGGAACUGCGCUUGAAACUGUUAGGCUCGAGUCAGCUAGAGGUACACGGAACUUCCAGUGGAGCGGUGAAAUGUGUUGAUAUUGGAAGGAACACCGGAGGCGAAAGCGGUGUACUGGGGCUGGUCUGACGCUGAGGCACGAAAGCCAGGGGAGCGAACGGG